rnacentral:lncRNA from 1 species
UCAAAUCUUAUUUAAAAACCAACCUACUACCACAACUGAUUUAAACAUACAAAUCCUAGAGAAGCAUGACCAUGCUGAAACUACUGCUAGAACUGAAAUAGACUGAAGUUGAGAUGAUUUCAUGAAGAGAUUUAGUAAUUUAUCCGGGACACAAAUGACAAAACAUACGAAAACAUACGAGUAUUACUAAUAUGUGGGGCCCACAAAGGGAAACCUGUGGGGGCACG